UGCUGACGAGCUAGCUUUAACCCUCGAACCUAACGUUACCACAUAAACUAAACCCUAAAUUAUCUGAAACUCCACAAACAAAUCAUUUUUCCUCCCAAG
rnacentral:rRNA from 1 species